ensembl:lncRNA
GGGGAGUGAGGCUAUUGCGAGUGUGAAAGGUUGUCCAGGAAGUAACUAAGAAGACAUGAACAGAGAGGUGGUGAUCCUCGGUGGAGUGAUGAAGUAGAGCAGGCACUGUGGAAAAAUAGUUGUGACUCAACCAGACCAUUACAAAGUAUGGCCUGGAGGAUUUUCAUCUCAAGGUGCAAGAACAUUCUUAAUGACUGUACACAGCAGCUGCUGAUGGACGAUGUUGGGCCAGAUGUGCUACAGUUAGCGUUAAGGAGGUUGGAGACAAUGCAGAGAAGCCUUCAGUGGGCAAGAGGAAGACUGAUCAAUGUAACUGCAGCAGAUCAACUUCUGCGUGACUCGACUGAAUUGAUUCAGGAGGUCGAACUGUCUACUCAGCAUGGCCAACAAGGCUGUUUUGGAUACCAGGCACCAGUGGUUUUCAACAGAGGUAGAGGUAGACCCCUUUACCUUAUCACUCGG